rnacentral:rRNA from 1 species
UUCCAGUUGAUCCUGCCGGACCCGACUGCUAUCAGAGUGAGAUUAAGCCAUGCGAGUUAACGUAGCAAUACGUGGCGCACGGCUCAGUAACACGUAGUCAACAUGCCCAGAGGACGUGGAUAACCUCGGGAAACUGAGUCUAAACCGCGAUAAGUGAGGAUUUCUGGAAUGGUUCCUGACUAAAAUCUAUAUGGCCUCUGGAUUGGACUGCGGCCGAUCAGGCUGUUGGUGAGGUAAUGGCCCACCAAACCUGUAACCGGUACGGGCUCUGAGAGGAGGAGCCCGGAGAUGGGCACUGAGACAAGGGCCCAGGCCCUAUGGGGCGCAGCAGACGCGAAACCUCUGCAAUAGGCGAAAGCCUGACAGGGUUACUCUGAGUGACUUUCGCUAAGAAAGUCUUUUGGUACCUCUAAAAAGGGUGCAGAAUAAGGGGUGGGCAAGUCUGGUGUCAGCCGCCGCGGUAAUACCAGCACCCCGAGUGGUCGGGACGAUUAUUGGGCCUAAAGCAUCCGUAGCCGGUUCUGCAAGUCCCCCGUUAAAUCCAGCUGCUCAACAGAUGGGCCGCGGAGGAUACUACAGAGCUAGGAGGCAGGAGAGGCAAGCGGUACUCAGUGGGUAGGGGUAAAAUCCGUUGAUCCAUUGAAGACCACCAGUGGCGAAGGCGGCUUGCCAGAAUGCGCUCGACGGUGAGGGAUGAAAGCUGGGGGAGCAAACCGGAUUAGAUACCCGGGUAGUCCCAGCCGUAAACGAUGCAGACUCGGUGAUGGGUUGGCUUCGCGCUAACCCAGUGCCGCAGGGAAGCCGUUAAGUCUGCCGCCUGGGUAGUACGGUCGCAAGACUGAAACUUAAAGGAAUUGGCGGGGAGCA